UGCCCAGAAACUCCUAUUCCUACCUCCUCGUGGUACUGGCCGGGGUACGAGUAACCUUGGGGAAGAUCGGGUAACCAAUCUCGGUGGGAACUUUGGUCGUAUGCUGACAGGGAAGG
rnacentral:ribozyme from 1 species